CCUACGGGUGGCAGCAGUGAGGAAUAUUGGUCAAUGGACGAGAGUCUGAACCAGCCAAGUAGCGUGAAGGAUGACUGCCCUAUGGGUUGUAAACUUCUUUUAUAUGGGAAUAAAACGUUCCACGUGUGGGAUUUUGUAUGUACCAUAUGAAUAAGGAUCGGCUAACUCCGUGCCAGCAGCCGCGGUAAUACGGAGGAUCCGGGCGUUAUCCGGAUUUAUUGGGUUUAAAGGGAGCGUAGGUGGAUUGUUAAGUCAGUUGUGAAAGUUUGCGGCUCAACCGUAAAAUUGCAGUUGAAACUGGCAGUCUUGAGUACAGUAGAGGUGAGCGGAAUUCGUGGUGUAGCGGUGAAAUGCUUAGAUAGCACGAAGAACUCCGAUUGCGAAGGCAGUUCACUGGACUGCAACUGACACUGAGGCUCGAAAGUGUGGGUAUCAAACAGGAUUAGAUACCCGAGUAGUC
rnacentral:rRNA from 1 species